rnacentral:rRNA from 1 species
GGAUGUUGCGUAAAGGGAAAGGUCGUAGUCAAACCCCACAGCCACGCGAACUCUAAGUCAGCCACGAAUAGGCUAUCCCAACUAACGGCGGGAAAGACUCCACGGAGGGUGUAAGACCCGUGUGGGCGCGUGUCAAAGCUGUGCGGGCUCGGCCUCUAUUCCCUGAGAGUCGCGUUGCUUGAGCAUGCAGCGCUAAGCAGGUCGUAAACUCGAUCUAAGGCUAAAUAUCUCCACAGAACCGAUAGCGAACAAGUACCGUGAGGGAAAGUUGAAAAGCACUCUGGAGAGAGAGUCAAAAGACCGUGAAACCGCUCAGAGUAUAAGCCCAUGGCAGCUUGGAAGGCAUAUCGCUAGCGGGGCAUCGGUCUUCCUUCGCGGGGAGCUGGUGUUACCUUGCUUUUGUUGUGGCUCGUCAUGGUAGGGGGGUCAAGUCCACAUCCCGCCGUCGUGUGGGGGGUUCUUGGGUGUGUUGUGGUUUCUCGGUUGGCUUCGGCUGGUCGGGGGGCCCUUCGUGCUUGGUUCCUCUUUGGACACGGACGUUCAGACUCAUUGGCAAGACGCGAUAAACAGCCCACCACGGCACGUUGUGAGGUCACCCACAGGCUCGACUUUCGAUCGUGAGCCUUGACGCAGAGCAAGCACAAUGCGUGUCGCUGAGGUUCCUAACCAGGCAUAGGUGCCAGGAUCGUGGAACGACACGCGCUCAACAGUCAGGUUCGGGCGGAGACAGAGUUCUGGUACGAUCCUCUUGCGACGAGCCGGCUUCUGGCCGACAUCCGAUGCUCAGGUCUCCCGCAUGUGCCGCGGGAGAUCGCCUUGACGGUCUGGAUUUGUAUGAGUCCUCUCAGUCGGGCAACGGAUAGAGUGGUGUAAAGUCCAAGCCCAUCGGUCACGUCUCGAAACACGGGCCAAGGAGUAUAGCAUGUGUGCAAGUCUAAGAGUCUCACAAAACUCGAAGGCGAAGUGAAAGCAAGUAAGCGGCGGGUGAUCUACGGAGAGAU